rnacentral:lncRNA from 1 species
UUUCUGGGAGCAUUUGUUAAUUUUUGAAAAUGCUAUCAUAUCUUGCUUUGGCUUCUUCACAGUGAAUUUGUUUUGUGAUUCUUCGACUUGAACAAAGGCACAAUUUCUUUUACGAGGCAUGAGUUAAUCUGAUCAUUAAAGAAGAUGGAGAAAACUAAUAUUUUCCCAAAAUUUAAUUAGUAUAAAAUAUUAACAAUUCAAUAAAUUGAAAAGCGAAAAUUAAAUCAAAUUUAAAUUUUGGGAAAGACUUUCUUACCACUUUUGUAUAAAAAUUAAGAACUCAAUAAAAUAAGUAAUAUGUGAAGCUAAAGAUGUCAGUUUAGGGUUGGUUAGAGGGUGAAUGGUUGAUGUCUU